GAACCUCUAUAGAGGACUGUGAAAAUUUGUGAUCUGGGCUUUUUAGACUCGUCUACCCAUGUACUGUCUGAAGCCAAAGCAGCACAUUGGUUGUCAGAUGUGAAAUAUAUUGGCAUUGUUUUCGGCUCCCCCACUCCACUAUAACUAAACUUAAGGAGGUAACCCCAUGUUCACAGCUGCCGCCGGGCGCAAGGUGUGUCGCAGCCGAGGAGGGUGGGUGGCAGCACUGGCGGCGCCCACUCGCCUGCUCUCCUCCCCUGGGUCAGGCCUGACCCUGGAGCGGAGCUGCGCCAGGCACAAGCACUGCAGCCAAGGUGCAACUCCUGACACAGAGCCAGGCUCCAGUGAAGGAACCUGCUGUGGAGGUGCCUGUUUGCACCCCAUCUCAAAAUUGUAUCCGGGGCCAUGGCACCCCCAGCACCCCCCCCAACUAUGCCUCUGGUAUCUCUGAGGUGUAAUGAAGGAAGGGUGGGCAGGUGGAAAAGAGCGUUGGCAACUUUUAACAGUGGUCCACCCUUAUAUGAGGGGUCUGUUUACUUAUCCUUGGUACAUGGUUUUAGCACAAAAGGUAUUUGUUCAGCAUCUUCUCUGUGUCUUGCCUUUAGACUGAAAAAGACGGUCUAAAAAUGUGAGCAGAAAUUGAUCUUAUCCUUUUACACUAACAUUAGUUCCCCAUAAAGUAAAAAAGAAGAAGAGAGAGUCAAACAUCACAGUGAAUGUAUGUAAAUUACAGAAAAAGAUGAAAUCUUGAGGAAGCUUUGAAAGAAUCAGAAGCUGCCAAAAGGCUUUUCAAAUUGGUAUGUGUGACAGUCUGGCAUUGAAAGUAUUUGCAUAACUUUCCCAUGAUCCCCUUUAGUUACUCCCCUCACCCCCAAAGAAAAACGAUUUUUUAUUUAUCCACUUCAUAACCUAGGGAUGUAUUUUCAUCUUGACAUUGUUCUUGGGUAUGGCAGCAUUUCCUAAUAGAUCAUGAGCCCCCAAAAACAUAAAAAGCGAGGAAGCACAUCAGUGUCUGCUUGUACUUUGCCCUCUCCCUGUGUAGGGAGUUUUUAAACAUUUGGCUCUGAACCAAGACACUUUAAUGUUCUGUGAAGUGUGGUUUCAUAAUAUAUUAUCAUUAUCUUCCAUGUUUGAAAUGUAAAAUAGCUCUUACUUGAUUGUUCCCUUGCUGAACUAAUUAGGUUAGUUUUUAGGUCCUGUUUCCAUUGUGUUCCAGAAUGAAAGGCUGUGGCAUUAAAUAGGAGUCAUUUUGUGCAUUUUGUAUAAGACUGACCCAGCUGCAGAGUUGGGGCUGUAGAGAAAGUAAUUCCAGGCCUGGCUUUACGGGUAAGGCUGCAAGGCUCAGCUCCCUUAAGCUCUGUUGAGAGUAGUUUACUUUCAAGUAAAGUCAUCUAGGACCAGAGCGGAAACUUGUGUUCUGCUUUUUAUUCCUCGGACAUGGGGUGGUUUUUCACUUUGUGGAGGAUGCUGUGUAUGAGAGAGGAAGGGAGAGGGAGAGGAUGCAUUUCAGACUCUGAUAGAUGUGAGGGCAGUAUGAAUGUGAACUUGGGGAGGGAAUCUGUUCUCAUGUUAGUGAGAAUUGCCAUCAUUGACCUGAAGGUUUGGCACAGAGACAAAAAGCGUGCUCUCUAUGUUCAUUUAUAUUCAUCUCAAGCUGAGAUCUAAGAUUAUUCCCUCUGAAUAGUGACUGUGGUAUUCUCUUUGUGUAACACAUGGGGAUUUACAACAGCCACUCACGCUUACAUAUGUGCGUGCGCACACAAAUUGCUGCUCACUUCAUACCCCUCAAGCAAAAAAUGCUGUUUGUUGCCCACAGGCCCAAAAAGACAGGAUGAGGAGGGGGGCAUAAGCAAGUGUGAAAUAUGUAUUAAUAUUUAAUCCAAGCAAUUUGGAUGAACUUGACGCUGCAAUUAGCUAGCAAUGCCCAUCUGUUGUGCACAGCACAACAACAACUUAUUAAAUAACUCAGAGAGAGGAAAGGAGCUGCCAAUUACCUUUCAAUUUAUUCCUUAAUAAAGCAUAUACAGUCUCUACAGAGAGAGAUCCAGAUGGUGAAGGAAACUCUCCAGGCCAUGUUGGUGCAGCUCCAGCCCGCUAAGAAGGCAGAGGAAGAUGCUGCUGUCGACUUCCUUGGUGGCAGCUGGUGUCCGGGAAAGGAAGGCUUAGAGGAAUAAUGAGCAGGAAGACUCGGCGGGGCGGGCAGGGGGAGAGAGCUUCAUUCAAAAGGGUUGCUUUCAAGAGCUGAAUACUGUCUUAGGAGGCCUCAAGGAUUCUUCCCAUCUCUGCGUAACUAAUAACAACUAAAUCAAUUAUUGGAUAUGGGGAGGGGGAGACCCUGAAAGACUCGCCUAACAAGUAUUGUAACUUGCAUGUUCACUGGGUCAGAGCUGGAAACAGUUUUUGAGGCCCUGUGUCCCAUGCACUCUUCGAUGUGACAGUUCCAAACUGAUGUGUCUGAACAGAUGCACCAAGGGUGAGACUUAUGCAACAAAGCUGUAGCAAUCUGCUUGUGCACUCCUUUCUAGUUCUGCCCAUACCUGACAAUGUAAUGUGGAGAUCUGCGCAUUCAGAAGUCACAAGUGCCUGUUCCAAAGAGCAGCGGCUAUUGCAAGUGGCUAGCCUUAAUUGCGUUGCCAGUGGUACAAUAUGUUGCUGUUCAGUGAUGGCCUUUUUGUUCAGAGGUGGGGAAGCUAUUGCUAGCCGUAGUUGGACUCUGAUUCCCAUCAGCCCUAGGCAACAUGGCCAGUGAUCCCGGAUGGCGUGAGUGAGGUUCAACAACAUCUGGAGGACUGCAGGUUCCUGCCCCGCCCCCAGUUUAGGGACAGGGUUGCAUUGGGGGUGUGGUGUGCACUCCAGUAUGUGAAAGCAGGAAUACCAAACCCAGCAAAUGAAGAAUGCCAGAUACCCUAAAUGUCAGGACUCCUCAAAACAAUGUACACAAAGAGGGAUGGCUUUUUCCACACAUGCAUCCAGCUUGGUGUCUGGGACACUUGCACAACCACUCAACCAGGGACCACUUAUGACCAUAGUAGUUUAAAGGAGAGUGAUGGGUAUUAUUACAUUUUCUAAGCAAUACAACACUGCAGCUGCUGGGAUGCAGUGCAAAUGUGAUUGCACAUGAAUGGAUUUGCUAUGUAGCAGGACAUUAAUGUUUCUACCACACAAGAGCCACAUCCACACCAUGCAUUUCAAGUGAUAUUCUACCACAUUGUUAUCCUUCCAGGGAGCUCCUGGAAUUGUAGCUCUGUGAGGAGAACAGGGGUCUCCUAACAACUCUCAGCACCCUUAGCAAACUACAGUUCCCAGGAAUAUUUUGACUCUCAAAAGUGGCAUAAUAGUGCUUUAAAUCUAUAACAUGGCCCUUACAGCACUAUGUGGAACAGCCCUGAAGAAUUGGUGUACUUUGUUCCAUGCAAUUUGUAAAACAUCCCUCCUCUCCCAAAUUACAUUUGGGGGGGGGGGACACUAAGUUGGAGUUUAAACUAAUGGCAAAAUUUUGCUAAAUGAAAUGAGGGCUGCAUAUACCCAUUGGCAUUCCAUAUAAUAGUGAUAAUUGAAAUCAAAGGCUGUCAUAAUAGCUUUUCCAACUAUAUUCAUUUAGUGUUACAAAGGGAGAAGAAAUUCUUGUUAAUUCUAAAGAGGAAAAUUAUUUAAAGCAAUAACCAAUGGUUUCUUGUUUUUUUUUUUUUAAAGCAAACUGAUGGUGCUUAGUGUAAUUAAAAGCUAGAUAGAUGCUUCACUGUUUUUAUAUAAAGACUUUAAAAAAAAUUCUUCUGAAGGUUUCUGCAAAUUGUAUGUUGAACUGGGUGUAUUUCUAACCAUAUAUAUCAACUCAGAAUGUACUUACCUGCAAACUCUGGUUUAUUUCAGGAUAAAAGGAAAGUGGGAUCAAAGUGGUAUUAAAAACAGAACCAUAGGAACAAUGAGCAGGAAGUGUCCAAAAUGCUGUCUAGCUCUUCAAAGACAGAUUCCCUUUCUUGAAGGGUAAGGAAGUAUUUGCCAUGGGCUGGCAAGCCUUGGUCAUCUCCUGUGUCAUUGUCAAUCACUCUACAGGGUGGCACCUGCAAAGACAGUUCUGAAAUUUCAGUGUCAGCAUGUAGAUAAGAUUUCAGUAUGUGGCAGCAUGGCUUCUCUGGUUCCAGCCUCAGGGAACCAUAUUACACCAACACCACAAAACUCCAGCAGUUGUCUGUUGCUGGCAAAGUUCAAGCUUCUGUUUUUCCUUCCUUCUAUAUAGACAGAGUUUGGGAUAUUUCAAGGAGCACUUUCUCUCCUAUGUGACUUCCAGAGAGCUGAAAUCUACAAAUGGCAAUUUACUUUGGGUAUCAAUGCUACUGCAACAAUGUUGACUUGCAGUAUGUUCCUUUGGUGUGUGUGAAUGAUUUCAUUAGGUCAACUCAUUUGCCUGGGCAAGUUGAGUGGACAGCUUCUCCCCAUAAUGGAAGGACAUUGUUUGUCUUCAUCUAUGUCAUAAUGUAGUCUCAUUUGCUUGGCUGCACUAUGUGAUCUCUGAUUGGCUGUGGUCAUAUGUUAAAGAUCCCUCCAAAUUAAGAGAGAGAGAGAGGAAGCAGGGGGCCGCUAGGGGGCGCAUCGAAAGAUGGCCGACAAUACCAUCUCUCCGGCUCACACGAGGUAAUUAAGAGGCUGUUAUGGGAGUAUGCAGCCUCCCUCGUUACCCCAAAGGAAUAGGGAAUGCUGCCUUGCCUGCUGUGCCCAUAAUUCACCCCCAGAUUCGAAAGGGGGUGAGGGCACUAGGCACAAAAGCCCUCGUGUGGGUCGGCUCUCCUGGACACUGUCUCUGAUCUGCGCAGCUAGUUGCAGGAGCUCAAAAUAAACAAUCAGAACAGAAGCAAACGCACAUACUUCAAGCGAUGAUCGGGAGUAAGGACUGCUAACUAAAGGGAUCUCUGGGAAGAGGAGCGAUGGGCUGGACUUAACAAUAAAUCAAGAAGAGGAAUAAAUCAAGAAGAUUUAUCAAAGGAUCGGUAUGUCGGAGCGAGACUGAAAAGGAGGGGGGGAGAAAAACUUUCCUUUUUUUGUCUUAUGUGAGUACCCAAUAAUCCCCCCCCCCCCAAAGAAUCGUUGCAAUUACUGAUCACAAGCAGGAGGAAUAAGAACUGUGUGGAAAUUAAUUACUAUGCAAGGACGUGGCUUAUGGGAGCAUCGGGAAAUGAAAGUAAGUCCUUUGUGACGCAGUUAUAAAAAGAGAUUUAUCAUGGCAGGCCCGCCCGCAGGAAUCCAGGGGGAGGAGGACUAUGGCUGUUACUAUGUUGGAGUGUGGGUUCGGCCUAGCAGGGCCCCCUGAGAAAAUUUAUGAGGGAGCGGCGGGCCUGGGGAGAUCAGGACAGACUGUCGGAAUGUUUUGUACGGAGGUGUUGAAAUGGCGUCUGUCUACUUUUAUGGCUCUUGGAUGAGUGUAAAAUCCACACAGGAAAUAAUGACGUUUGUCUUCAACCCGCUUGUGGAGAUUAUCAGAGAUCACAAAGAAAGGAGAU